AUCGCCAGCAGGGCUCAGGGGGAUAACCUUUCACAACAACUUUGGUCAGAGAUGCUGUACCAGCUUCAUUGGACAAGAGCUACCACCUUCUAGCCCUGAAAAACCACGGCGGCCUAGUAAUUCCAUCACAAGGCACAGUAAAGGUGCUGAGAGCUGCAGAGGGUGAUCCGCCGAGCUUCAACAACACAAGCUCCUGAGGUGUCGACAGUAACACACAUCGUCCGAGAGGAGAUUGGAACGGAUGAUGUUUUUUUGCUUGGGGAACACAUUGAAGAGACACAGUUUGGCAUCGACAACAAUCAUUCAGACAUGUUGUCAUUGGUUGUGUCUGUGUUUCUCAAGCUAAGGCUGCACCACAUUGCCAAACUCACCACACUGGAAGUGCAAAAAGGGAGCACGAGAAAGAAGCUCUGCAAGACAGUCCUAUUCCAGGGGUUUGUGUGUGUGUGUGUGUGUGUGUGUGUGUGUGUGUGUGUGUGUGUGUCUGAGUGCGUGUGUGUGUGUGUGUGUGUGAUAGUUAGUUAGUUAGACCCUCUUUGGUGCAAACACCCGGCGUUCUGUUGAAGUUAUUUGUGUGCGUGCGCUUGCAAAUAUUCAAUUCAUUUUAUUUCUAUAUUGUUUUUUAACGUAUUAAAUGUCUGACUUUACUACUACUAUCUGUUUCUGCUUCUCUAUCAAAAUUAUAGUGUGUGAUUUGCAAAAUACCUAUCAUUGCCAAACAGACGGUUUGGCAGUAAACUGAUUACUAUCAACAGCUUCUCCAUUUCCACUAUAUGAGUCAUGCCCCAAUAGGGCGAUGAGCCAAUACGCUUGAACCCCAAAGACGUGAGAAGCUUUUUGAUUGGUCGGUAGAGUGGGAGUUUUGAAACGUCAGUCAGUCAUUCAGAUGCAACGUGAACGCACCUUCACAGAGAAACAAAGAAAGAACCAGCACGUGGUCUGAGACCGUUGAACGAUGAACUUCACUGACUGAGGAGUUUACUUGUUGAAGAGCUUCAGAUCACAUGACUCAAGACGUCCAAGAGAAUUAAAGUGUGAAAUGAUCAAAUUGAUUGAAGACCGAUCAGAAUAUAACUGAUCCAUCACGAAUCAGCUGUAUUAUUUAGUAAAGAAUUAUUGUCAACA
ensembl:lncRNA